UAAGGGCGCACGGUGGAUGCCUUGGCACUAGAAGCCGAUGAAGGACGUUACUAACGACGAUAUGCUUUGGGGAGCUGUAAGUAAGCUUUGAUCCAGAGAUUUCCGAAUGGGGAAACCCAACAUGAGUUAUGUCAUGUUAUCGAUAUGUGAAUACAUAGCAUAUCAGAAGGCACACCCGGAGAACUGAAACAUCUUAGUACCCGGAGGAAGAGAAAGAAAAUUCGAUUCCCUUAGUAGCGGCGAGCGAAACGGGAAGAGCCCAAACCAACAAGCUUGCUUGUUGGGGUUGUAGGACACUCUAUACGGAGUUACAAAGGACGACAUUAGACGAAUCAUCUGGAAAGAUGAAUCAAAGAAGGUAAUAAUCCUGUAGUCGA
rnacentral:rRNA from 1 species